rnacentral:snRNA from 1 species
AGCUUUGCGCAGUGGCAGUAUUGUAGCCAAUGAGGUUUAUCCGAGGUACAAUUACUGCUAAUUGAAAACUUCUGAGAAAAUUUGGAACCAAAAAUUUUGUGAAAAUGAAUGUU